GUCCUCUUGAUAAUAUUAUGAGGUCUGGCCUGCUCACUGACGAGUUUUGAAGAGCCGCGGUAUUUUGACCGUGCAAAGGUAGCAUAAUCAUUAGUCUCUUAAUUAGGGGCUGGAAUGAAUGGCUUGACGAGAAAUCAACUGUCUCUUAAUAAAUUUUAGAAUUUAACUUUUGAGUCAAAAGGCUUAAAUUUUUCUUUAGGACGAGAAGACCCUAUAGAGCUUGACAUCUUACUUUUAUAUAGUUUUUAGUUGGUCUUUCUAUAUAAAAUGAUAAUGUUUUGUUGGGGUGACAUGAAGAAUAAAUAAACUCUUCAUUAUAUAAUCAUUAAUUUAUGUUUAUUAUGAUCCAUAAUUUAUGAUCACAAGAUUGAGUUACCUUAGGGAUAACAGCGUAAUUGUUUUUGAGAGCUCAUAUCGACAAAACAGAUUGCGACCUCGAUGUUGGAUUAAGAAAAAUGUUGGGUGCAGUAGCCCAAUGAUUAGGUCUGUUCGACCUUUAAAUUCUU
rnacentral:rRNA from 1 species